rnacentral:rRNA from 1 species
GAGGGGUGUAAGCGUUAUUCGGAUUUACUGGGCGUAAAGGGUGCGUAGACGGCGCAUUAAGUCUGUUGUUAAAUUUUUCGGCCUAACCGAAAAGCUGCGAUGGAAACUGGUGUGCUAGAGAAUGAGAGAGAGAAGUGGAAUUCCCGGAGUAGCGGUAAAAUGCGUGGAUCUCGGGAGGAACACCAAUGGCGAAGGCAGCUUCUUGGCUCAUUUCUGACGUUGAGGCACGAAAGCGUGGGGAGCAAACAGGAUUAGAUACCCUGGUAGUCCACGCCGUAAACGAUAAUCACUAGACGUUAGUCCGGCUUUGCUGGAUUAGUGUCGUAGCUAACGCGUUAAGUGAUUCGCCUGGGGGAGUACGAUCGCAAGAUUA